CAGCCGCCGCGGUAAUACGAAGGGGGCUAGCGUUGUUCGGGAUUACUGGGCGUAAAGCGCACGCAGGCGGCUCGAUAAAUUAGAAGUGAAAGCCUUGGGCUUAACCUGAGAAUUGCUUUUAAGACUGUCGAGCUAGAAUCCAGAAGAGGGUAGUGGAAUUCCGAGUGUAGAGGUGAAAUUCGUAGAUAUUCGGAAGAACACCAGUGGCGAAGGCGACUACCUGGUCUGGCAUUGACGCUCAUGUGCGAAAGCGUGGGGAGCAAACAGGAUUAGAUACCCCCGUAGUCCCUGUCUCUUAUAC
rnacentral:rRNA from 1 species